rnacentral:lncRNA from 1 species
AUGAUCUGUGUCAUUUUUAUUCUGCCUUCAGGGAAAGUGAUGAAGAAAUGGCUAUAUCUCAUAGAGAAUGAGAGAAGUUUUGCAGAAAAUGGCUGGAGAAAGGUCAAAUUUUCCCGCAACCUCACAAUCCUUCUCAGAGUUAGUGCAGCGCAGUUAGCGGCACGCCAAAUUUACAAGCCAGGAGAGUUUGACAUCAGUGGGAGUCGUCUCAUAAAGGAGCGUACAACGUGACUCCAGAAGAGAGACGUGAAUUCCUCAAGCUCUUUGUAAAAUAAACAAAAUGUUGAUGUUUGUGGUGAGUUGAAC